rnacentral:rRNA from 1 species
CCUACGGGAGGCUGCAGUGAGGAAUAUUGGUCAAUGGACGAGAGUCUGAACCAGCCAAGUAGCGUGAAGGAUGACUGCCCUAUGGGUUGUAAACUUCUUUUAUAUGGGAAUAAAAUGUUCCACGUGUGGGAUUUUGUAUGUACCAUAUGAAUAAGGAUCGGCUAACUCCGUGCCAGCAGCCGCGGUAAUACGGAGGAUCCGAGCGUUAUCCGGAUUUAUUGGGUUUAAAGGGAGCGUAGGUGGAUUGUUAAGUCAGUUGUGAAAGUUUGCGGCUCAACCGUAAAAUUGCAGUUGAAACUGGCAGUCUUGAGUACAGUAGAGGUGGGCGGAAUUCGUGGUGUAGCGGUGAAAUGCUUAGAUAUCACGAAGAACUACGAUUGCGAAGGCAGUUCACUGGACUGCAACUGACACUGAGGCUCGAAAGUGUGGGUAUCAAACAGGAUUAGAUACCCUUGUAGUC